rnacentral:tRNA from 1 species
GCCCCGAUGGUGUAGUUCGGUCAAUCAUCACGGCCUCUCGAGUCGUGGACUCGGGUUCAAAUCCCGGUCGGGGCACCA